rnacentral:lncRNA from 1 species
UUGCUUUAACGAUAUACAUGGAGUCUUUUUUUGUUUGUUUGUUUGUUUGUUUUGUAACUCUAGUAGACCGACAGACAGGCUGAUUGAUGGAGAAACACAGAAAGAGAGAGAACAGGUGUAGAACAAAAAUAAAUGGGAACUGAGAAAGCUAACUGCAAACGCCUAUUCAAGUUAUCCGUCCUAGGGGACCUACGGAAAUGUGCUCGGUGGGGGGAAAUCAUGCCCAGACGAAUCCGAAGGAGUCUUGGAAAGCAGCCUACCUCGGAAGUGUAACAUGGGAGGUCGUAAGCCUGAGCCCUGGUAAGCUGUCUUCAUUCUCGUUGCAGUCUGGGCCGCAUCGACAGUCGUAGACAACAGUAACAGAAUCGACAGAAAAAUUACAAGCACUGCCCCUCCUUUUGCCUGGAUCAUCUGCCUCGUCAUAAGCUCUCGCUGUUCUUCUUGUAUCUCUCCAAAGAUGAAUAAAACUCGCUGCACUUCGUCCAAUUUGUUGGAAAUCUGACUGUAGG